rnacentral:rRNA from 1 species
AGAGUUUGAUCAUGGCUCAGGACGAACGCUGGCGGCGUGCCUAAUACAUGCAAGUCGAGCGCGGGAAGCAAACUGAAGCCUUCGGGCGGACGUUUGUGGAACGAGCGGCGGAUGGGUGAGUAACACGUGGGCAACCUGCCUGUAAGAUUGGGAUAACUUGCGGAAACGUGAGCUAAUACCAAAUAAAGCUUCAUAUCACCUGAUGUGAAGAUGAAAGAUGGCUCCGGCUAUCACUUACAGAUGGGCCCGUGGCGCAUUAGCUAGUUGGUGGGAUAAAAGCUUACCAAGGCAACGAUGCGUAGCCGACCUGAGAGGGUGAUCGGCCACACUGGGACUGAGACACGGCCCAGACUCCUACGGGAGGCAGCAGUAGGGAAUCUUCCGCAAUGGACGCAAGUCUGACGGAGCAACGCCGCGUGAGUGAUGAAGGUUUUCGGAUCGUAAAACUCUGUUGUUAGGGAAGAACAAGUACCGUUCGAAUAGGUCGGUACCUUGACGGUACCUAACCAGAAAGCCCCGGCUAACUACGUGCCAGCAGCCGCGGUAAUACGUAGGGGGCAAGCGUUGUCCGGAAUUAUUGGGCGUAAAGCGCGCGCAGGCGGUCCUUU